CAGCACCAGAGGGUUGAUUUGAAAAUGGGUGAAGAAAGAAUUGGAAUGGUGGGAAAAUAUCUAGAUGCCUGUCAGUCUGCAAGAAGAUCAUCUUAGUGUCUCCAGAAACCACCGUCCUUAAGAUAUUUCUACUUGAGCAACAGGAAACAAUGCUUUCACUUCCAGUGGGAUCAUGGGCCGUAGUAAGGAUGUUGCUGAAGUUGUUUGUGGCAUUAUUUUCUGGUCAGUGAGAGCAGCUCUUCGCAGAAUGAAAAUAUCCUGAAGAAGCAAAGCUAGAAAAUUGAAAAACAAAGACUAGGUGAUAUCGCUUAUUUAUCCAUGCCUAAAUAUAGCACUUCAUUCAAUAUUUAGUUCCACAAGGCAAUAUAUUUCCUUCUCCUUUAUUCUUAUUUUUUCCUUUUGUUUCUGUUAUUUUAAAACAAAAUCAAUCAUGCUAACAAGAUCUUCCUUUCAUAGUCACCCAGCAAAGGGUUUAUACACAUUAAUUUUGCUAUAUAUAGCAAAAUUUUAUAUAUUAUAAAAUUUAUACAUGUUAAUUUUGUUAUUUAUAAUAUUAUUAAUGUGUAUAAACAUAAGUUAACAUUACAGAUAUCUACAUGUAUAUAUACACAUACGCUAGUAUAUGUACAUACAGUACACACACACAUAUCAAGCAGUCCUCCCACUUUGACCUCACAAAGUGCUGGGGUUACAGGCAUGAGCUGCCAUACCAGGGCUAUAUCAUUUUGGAUCUAUCUUUUCAUUUGUCAUUAUAUCUUUUUAGGUCUAUUCAUAUAAAUCUAAUUAUUUUCAAAAGUAAAAUGAAGACCAUAAUGUAUUCAGUAGUUUCCUUCUUUACAAACUUUUAAGUUUCUUCAGGUUUUUUAUAGAUUGCAAACCAUGCUGAAAAACACCAAACAUGGCACUGGUUUUAACAAGGUAGGUAAGUACUGGAGUUUACUUAGAAGAGAAGUUGGCAAUAAAGUAGAAGUAGAAGUUGAUAUCAGACUAUCACAACUAGCUUCACCAGCUUGGGUAAUUUACUAAGAUUCCUUGAGCCUUGCUACAGUAACUUAAAAUUAGAUAUUUAAACUAUCAAAUACAGUAAAUAAGUUUCCAAUCCUUUGCACUAUUGGCUUAUUGAAAUGCUGUAUUAAGAGAGAUUCUAAAGUCAUAUUUUACCACAGCAGAAAAUGUAUUAUAAAAUAAGAAAGAAGUGGCAAAUGUGGCAUAUAUGUGUCACCUAGUUCCAACUUAAUAUUUUAUUACUAUAACUUAAAAGAUGGUAUGAGAACUGAAAUGUUAUAUGAGAGUCGUUUAAAGAAACUAUUGCAGUUCGGCUUAGGAAAAGAGAAAACUAGAAGAAUAUAUUCUCUCAAAUAUUUGACUUGAGUUCCUUAACAGAACAGAACUAGAAUUACUUGUUGGAAAUUACGGUGAGAUUUUGACUUCAAAAAGAAAAAAAAUUCUAGUAAUAAGAAUGUCUACUAAUCAAACAAGAUGCUUUUUUUGUUGGAUUUAUUGGCAAGAAGCUAGAUCACUACAGAGGCUGCUUCAGAAAUUACUUAUAUGAGAACAAUAAAAUGAAGAAUAUUUACUACAUGUCAGACACUAUGUUAAUAAUUUUCACAUACAUAACAUGAUAGUAGGUGAUUAGAAUCAAUUUUCACACAUAAUAGACACUCUGUAUCCAUCACGGUGGAGUAGAAGGAAAAAGUUAUUGAUCAGUCUGAGAAGACAAUAGUUUUGAAUGCAUUUUCAAACUAAUUUAUCCCCAUAAAUAAGCCAACUUUAAUUAAUUCACGUACACUUUCAGUUAAUGUUCUGUCAGAAUUUCUCUUACAAAGUUUCAUCUCAAACCCUGUCUGACAUAUCAAGGAAGAGAAAAGCAAAGCUAUGAGGUAAAACGGAGUCAACCAGCUGCCAACUUUAAUACAUUUCUUUUAUUCUCAAUUGUCUUAGCUCACUUAGUGAAAAACUGCAGCAAAAGAAAAAUAGUCCACUAGGGAAAAAUAAUGUUGCAAAGCAGUAAAGUCUUUAAAUUUCAAAGGAAAAAAAGUUAUGUAUAUUAAAUAGAAAUACUGGUAUGUUUUUAUCACAAAUAUGAGCUAAUUUCUUUUUAAGCCUAUAUUCUUUCUUUUUUGUUUUAUUCUUAAUUGACACAUAAAAACUGUACAUAUUUAUGGGAUUUAGUAUAAUGUUUCAAUACAUGUAUAUAAUAUAUGAUAUUAGGACAAUUAGCAUAUCAGUCACCUCAAACAUUAAUAAUUUUUUAUGGUGAGAACAUUUAAAAUCCUCCCUUCAAGCUAUUUUGAAGUAUACAAUAGAUUACUGUUAACUAAAGUCACCCUACUGUGAAAUGGAACAUUAGAACUUAUUCCUCCUAUCUAACUGUAACUCCUUACCCAUUUCCCAACGUCUCCACUCUCCCCCUACCC
rnacentral:lncRNA from 1 species